AUUACCUUCUCUAUUACACCGGGGUCGGAGACGAUACGUUUGGCUUGUUCGAGGACGGGCGGCUGUUCAUCACAGAUGCCAGCACCACAUGAGUCAUCGAUAAGCAGGAAGGUCUUCAUCAGUCCAAUGACAGGACUACAGGGAUAUCUUCCCUUGUUUGAGUAUGAACUGCAAGAGCUCUCUACCUUCCAAGACUGUAAGAGAGUCACAAAGCCUGCUCUUAAUCUGCAAGGAUAUUCUUCCAAAACUGCUGCAGCCUGGCCAAAAUCAAAACAAGCACCUGCAAAAUGAAAUGGACAGACUAAUACGUCUUUGUGCAAACAGUACGCUCUCUGACAGCAGUAUUAUAAAUGCAGCAAAUGCACUGGAGGGCCUGCUCCAACCGCUGCGCCCUUGUAGUCAGCACUUCACUUACAGAUACCCAGAAUGUAAAUAUAACAAUGCAGUUUGACUUGUGUGGAACACUGGACUGCGGCCUUCAAGCAGGGAAGGGAAGCUAUGUCCAAAGACAACACCUGUCCGGCCCUCCACUCAAAAUUGCUGGAACAAGGAGAAAACCCGGGCAUUAGUAACUAUAGUUAGUGACUUGGAUGUGUUGAGCCAGCUCGAUCACCCGAAACAGCGGAACAAGCAUGUGUCCCAAAAAGUGGUUGAUGUCCUCUCAGAAAGAGGAAAAGCACACACAGUCCCACAAGCUAGGGACAAAUUAAACUGAAACAGUCCCACCUGCAGGAACAAGCAAGGAGGUGUCGUUCGUGAGAAGCAGGACAGUCCCGCAGAGCAAUGAUUUUUGCUUCAGUUACAUCUGGAUGUACGUAUUGCAGGGCCUCUGAACAAAGGAGUUGACAAACUUGUAAAUACAACGAUGAACUGUGGUUUUAUGCAUCCCAAACACAUUGCCAACUACCCUGUACUCAGCUGAGGAUGCCAGCCUAUACAGAGCAAUCAACAUUUUCCACUGGCACAGAAGGCCGUACGCAAUUCCUUUUUGGCAGCAUAUCUUCCUUUACCAGUUCCAUUGUAAUGUGGAAAGUUGCCCUUGUGACACGAAAGGACUCUAUCCACUGCAUAUUUGUGGAAGAGUGAUGCAGCAGAACCUCUUCCCACCAGCAAGAUGGACAAGUAUGUGUCCAAACCGUCCUUUCGUUAGUCAUUGGCAUUGGAUAACAAGGCAUAAGGACUUGCUGGUAGAGGAUGUUUGGAGGUUUAAGCUCCCAAAACAAAGGCAAAACAUUCACUGUUCCCAAUCCAGACAACCUUCGGAGCAUACGUGGAAGAUGUCUGGCACAGCUCUUUAGAAUACGAUGUCUUCGCCGGUUUUCAGCCAUGGUGAUCUACAAUACGUGUUGGUCAGUUUCAUUAUAUACCUUUCAGUUCAUUUUUAAUAAAUGAGUCGUAAGAUAAAUGAGUUGAAACUGACUCAAUACUAAAGACACGCCACUCCGCCAAUGACAUUUAAAAAACAAUUUGGUGGGGCUCCCGAGAGGUGCAUCUGGUAAAGGCGCUCUGAGUGGAGUGCAGGAUGCACCCUAUAACCUGGAGAUCGUCGGUUCGAGUCCAGGCUAUUCUAUUGUCGACCGUAGACUGGAGCUCCCAGCGGGUGGCGCACAAUUGGGAGGGCAUAGGUCAGCCAGGGUGUCCUCGGCUCACCGCACACCACCGACCUCUGUAAGCUGUCCACAGCUGCGUUGUCCUCUGACGUUGUAGCUCCGAGGUGGCUGCAAGGUGAGUCUGCAGUGUGAA